UACGUAGGGUGCAAGCGUUGUCCGGAAUUAUUGGGCGUAAAGAGCUCGUAGGCGGUCUGUCGCGUCGGCUGUGAAAACUCAGGGCUUAACCCUGAGCCUGCAGUGGGUACGGGCAGACUAGAGUGUGGUAGGGGAGAUCGGAAUUCCUGGUGUAGCGGUGGAAUGCGCAGAUAUCAGGAGGAACACCGGUGGCGAAGGCGGAUCUCUGGGCCAUAACUGACGCUGAGGAGCGAAAGCAUGGGGAGCGAACAGG
rnacentral:rRNA from 1 species